rnacentral:rRNA from 16 species
AGGGUUAGUCGGGUCCUAAGACGAAUCAAUUACGAGUAGUCGAUGGCAAACUGGUUAAUAUUCCAGUACCGAUUGCAAUUCGAUGGGGUGACACAGAAGUGAAAGAUCCGCGUACUGACGGAAUAGUACGUUAAAGCUUGUAGAUAUAAGUUUGGUAGGCAAAUCCGCCAGACUUGUCGAAAGUGAUAGUACCGUGAGCCUUCUCGGCAAACGGAUAGUGAUCCUAAUCAUGCUGUCAAGAAAAACCUCUAAGUUAUGUUGUAAUCGCCCGUACCGCAAACCGACACAGGUAGUCGAGGAGAGCAUCCUAAGG